GGAAACUGAAUAUAGAGACAGAUAUUAUAUCUCUCAGUCCCUGUGAGUUAUUAGGAAGAAGGCACCAGUGGUUGCUAAGCAACAGGUCUCCAUAGAGGACAAGGCACCUAGAGGAAAAAGGCACCUAGAGGAAAAAGCCUCCUUUGACGGAAUAUUGGGGCCCCCAUCCUCCGAGACCUGAAGUCCACUGUCGUCAAGCCGGGAGAAUGGAGAUACAGAACAUUAACUUCCAUUCUAGAUGAAGUUGUACAGAGGCAGGACACCACCCGAGGAACUCCUAGCUGAAGUCAUGGGUAUGGGGAAACUGACUUCUUCUGGAGUGUGACUCAAAGAACUGGGGCUACUUCCUUUCCAGGAGUCUGCCACCCUGUUUCAAAUCAUCAAUAAAACUAUGGACAUUACCCCCAGCAUUUGCACAAACUCACAUUUGGCUAUAAUUCCAGGGGAUGCAUAAGAGUCUGAAGAAAUGUCAGCCCUGAUGACUCUGAAAAAGUAGUAGACUCUACUGUAUCAACUGCUAGUGACUGAGCACCUACUCAGUAUCAGGCACUUUCUGAGGUACUUUACACCUAUUAUUUCA
ensembl:lncRNA